UGGGGAAUAGGGUUAAAAAGAAAAGAAAAGUUGUUCCCAGGAGGAUAUUGAGGAUAUUGCCUUUUUCAAUUUGAUUGCUUUCCUUUGAGGCAUAAGCAGAACCAUAUUUGAAUACAAAAUUGUUUUUCACAUAUUUUUUAACAUCAUGAUUAACAAUUUGAUUUCAAUGAGUUCUUCUUAAUGUAGAUAAAAAGAACUCUAAAUAUCAAAAUAAAUAAAAAUAGAAACUAAUUACAACGAAAACCUAAAUUUGCUCAGCAAAAUCACUGGGCUCUCAGCAUAGAAAAUUUGGUUUUCUUAGACAUGACAAAGGUGCUUUUUGUUUGUAUCUUGUUUUCUUUUACCCUAAUUUCUAAUAAGAUGCUUAUUUUUACAGAGUUUUGAGUAUAUAAACACAAUUAAUUUAGCCUCAUUCCUUAAUAAAAAUGUGAGCAUGUGGAAAUGUUUAGGCUUAUUUCUAGAAGAAACACUGAAGGUAUAUGGAACU
rnacentral:lncRNA from 1 species